UAACAAACUGCAUCGCUUGCCUUUGCCCAC
rnacentral:piRNA from 1 species